rnacentral:rRNA from 1 species
UACGUAGGUGGCAAGCGUUGUCCGGAUUUACUGGGCGUAAAGCGCACGUAGGCGGACAUUUAAGUCAGGGGUGAAAUCCCAGAGCUCAACUCUGGAACUGCCUUUGAUACUGGGUGUCUUGAGUAUGGAAGAGGUGAGUGGAAUUCCGAGUGUAGAGGUGAAAUUCGUAGAUAUUCGGAGGAACACCAGUGGCGAAGGCGGCUCACUGGUCCAUUACUGACGCUGAGGUGCGAAAGCGUGGGGAGCAAACAGG